AACGAACGCUGGCGGCGCGCUUAACACAUGCAAGUCGAACGGGGUGUCGGGCUUCGGCCUGGCACCUAGUGGCGCACGGGUGAGUAACGCGUGGGCACCUGCCCCGGGCUCCGGGACAAC
rnacentral:rRNA from 1 species